rnacentral:misc_RNA from 1 species
AAAAUGCGAUACUUGGUGUGAAUUGCAGAAUCCCGUGAACCAUCGAGUUUUUGAACGCAAGUUGCGCCCGAAGCCAUCCGGCUGAGGGCACGCCUGCCUGGGCGUCACGCAUCGCGUCGCUCCCCACCAUACCUCCCCAACGGGUUGGCAUGGUGUUGGGGGCGGAUAAUGGCCUCCCGUGCUUGUGUUUCGGUUGGCCUAAAUAAGAGUUCCCUUCGGCGGACACACGACUAGUGGUGGUUGAAUAGACCCUCGUCUUUUGUUGCGUGUCGUGAGCUGUAAGGGUAGCCCUCGUCAAAGACCCCAUUGUAUCGUCUUCGGAUGAUGCUUCGACCGCGACCCCAGGUCAGGCGGGACUACCCGCUGAGUUUAAGC